ACAUAGCUCUUGAACAUGAAAAAGGUGAUUGACGUGGUGUAUCUAUGACUUCCUACAUAUUUCCUGGGAUCUAGCUGGCCAUCUUGGCUUUAAGAAGACUGAACUUGGCGGAGUGAUAGAAGUUUCACACAAAUUUCUUGUCAUACAGAGACAUUUCGGCUGCUCUCAAGCACCCACUUUUAGCCAUUGCCUGAUGUUUGGAAUCCUGAUAAUGCCUCUCUUUGGCCAUGUCCCUCAGAACUGAGAGGGGGUGACAUGCAAAGGAGCCAUUUAGAAGCCCAUGCAGAAGAGGACAAAACCCCAAUCUGCUCAGGAACCUGAGCCACUCUGUAAGAUUUGGGAGGCUACAAUCAAGGUUAUUUGAGAAGUGGGACCUGGUGUUUUACCGUUACCUAUGAGUGUCCACACAGAAAUUUACAGAUGUGGGAAAGGCUGGGUAAUGAGAAUGCUCCGUAAAGAGGCACUGUACUUCACCAGGGAGAAAUCGCCCAAGUUGCUUCACAAAUGUUAAGAAAUAUGCCUACUUAAUUGUAUGUUGCAUUUUCCAUGGUCUUUGCUUUAUUCAUUUCAUGUGCAGCGAUUAAGAAGAUAUAUUGUACAUUUUAGUAUCUCUUAUGUUUUCCAAUAAAUACAAAC